GCCUGGGUGGCUCAGUCGGUUAAGCGUCUGACUUUGGCUCAGGUCAUGAUCCCAGGGUCCUGGGAUCGAGCCCCAGGUUGGGCU
rnacentral:tRNA from 1 species